CCCACCCCCACCCCAGAACCUUCACUCCAGGAAGGCAGGGAUGGGGUUAGCCCGGCCCUAGCUGUGUCCUUGAUCCUGAGGCGGGUGUGCAGAGCGAGUGAAGGUCCUGACUCAGACAACCUGUCCUCAUCCCCCAGGCAUGGGAAAGGCCUCCCAGGAAGACUGCCACUUCUCUACAUCUCAGCCUAUCUAAAAAUGCUGCAUCCUCCCCCGAACAGCAGACCAGUGUCUGUGAGUCCAGAAGUGCCCACAGGCAGAGGCUCCCAUGCAUGCCCACCUGCUUCUGGAGCAGCGCCUCUAAAAGGCCCUAAGCCAGAUCUGCGAUGCAUGUCAGGAAGAGCCCAACUGUCUCAACUGAGUUGUCCAACUGCCCCAAGUGGAUGGCCAGGGGCAAAGGACGAAGAAACAUCCCAACCUGCUCUUCUGGGUGUUAUCAAGCUGCCAAUGUUGACACUUCCCAGAUGUCCUCUGGACAAAGCCAUCCCAUAACAACCAGCCCACAUGACAUACUUGGCUCUCAUUCCAUGUGACCUGUCUGUGGCUCCAAGAGGAGGAACAGUUGGUGACAGGAUCUCUAACAGUCAAAGUCUCCAGUUAUACCACUGUGUGCACUAUGCCACCAAGGACAAGAAGCAGGGCGUGGGCAAGGCUGGCACUCAGACAGCAGCACAUGGCCACACGCAAGAGCCACAGUGCUUCCGUGCUCCUGGUACAGUGAACCCACAUCCAAAGCCUGGGCCUGAAGAACUCACACAGAGAGAAGCAAAUAGUCCCAUUCCCGACAUGGGAAAAGCUCAAUGCCCAACAGAGAAACAGUUUUGAGACUGAUGAUACAUCCACUUCCUAACAUGCUACCACUUAAUAACCAGUGAGGAUGAGGAUUCAAGAAGCCCUCCAGGGUACCACUCACACCAUCGAAUGCAGCCAGCAUGUCCUGCACAGGCCCUCAUGGCUCUGUUGCUCUGUUUGCUGGUGACCAGCAACCCCUGAAGGUGUGCAAUAGAAUUUCUCCAGCAGCUGCCCUGAAGCUGGCACCACUCAAGGCCCCACAGAUAAAAACAUGAAGUACACAGGUCUCCCAAGGGGCUCAUGGUCGGUUCUGUUUGUAACACAUGUAAGGAUGGAUAAGGAUUGAGAGUUAAUGAGAAAACAGCUAUUGCAUGGACUGCAGGGAUCAGCAGCAGGUUGGGAGGCUUUUGCUUGAUUUGACCAUUUUUGUAAUAGAAAUGCCACUACACAGCACUUAUCAGUUAUUUUUCAGGGGAGGGAAAGAUGCCUGUCUGACGGAGCAUACAGGACUUCUGAUAUAACCCUAGCAGAGAGGCUUCAAUGGGGGGGGUCUUGGUCAUUCCUGGGAGAAGUAGGUGCAGUUAGGGAACCCCUAUACUUCACUCUCCACAAACCGGACCUCACAGCUCCAGGUAUUUAAUGCAAACUGGCCUGGGAACAAGAAGGCCAAUUCAAGUCCUGGCUCUACCACCUAGUGGCCCAGGGCAAGGCACUAUCUCUGUGAUUCUCAGUUUUAUCAUCUACAAUGGAAAAAUACAUCUAUUCCGUCCAUAUCAUUUUUUAUUAAAAAAAAAAAGAAGAUCAUGUCAGACACAAGCAUACCUUGGGUAACUGCACAAUCAAAAAUGCCUCAAGGUCAGGAACAUAUACCCAGCACCUACCCCGGUACACAAACCAAACCAGUGCUCACAGGAGUGCUUCACAGUGGAAGCAGCCAGUGGGAGCCCAGAACAGUUGUACAGUUCAAGUGCUACAGGGUUUCUACUUCUGAGGGUAGGCCAAGGACCCAAAUCCCACACUGGCUUCCUCACGGCAGGCUCCACCCUAGACUCCAAGCAGAGUGUUCAUCCCCAGGAAAAUUCUUCAAGAGGAAAAGUUCCACACAGUACUGAAGACGGGCCUACACCUGUAAGCAGAAUGUGUGCAAACUAUGGCUAAUACAGUCUCUGUAGUUUUCAGGUUGAUUCUUGCCCUUUUCUUAUUCCCAAAAGAAAACACUUCCACACUCACAGCAAACAGGCUGUUUAAUGUUUUCUGCAUUUAAAUUUGAAAGAGGAAGGAUACCGGGGUAGCAGCCCUCUGGCCCUCUUUCUAAGCUUGUAAAUCAUGGAAGACUUCAAGGUUGCCUCUCUUUUCUGGGACAUUCCAAUGUAAGUCAAUAAGACAGUGAGGGAUGAGGGCACAUUAAAAUCCAGUCUCAAGCCUCACCCCUGCCAAGACUUUGUGUGUCCUGUGGCCACCCAGGUGGACUAUGAGAAAAGCAGGGGUGCUAAAUCCAAGCAUCUGGGGAGGGAAGCUUCUUGGCAGAGCUGUGACCACCUGCCUCACCACAGUGGGGUCAGCACACACCUCUGACCAUGCUCCGAAUGGGGACUUCUCUUUCAGAACAAGCCUGCAAGGGCCGACGAGCACUGGUCACCACUGCAUACCCCUCAAGAGGCCACAGGCUUGUCCUGUGUUGACUAAACUGUGCUAGAACUCCUAAGAGCUGUCCAUGGGGCCUUGAGCCCUGGAAAAUACUGUUCUGUUGCUGUACAACCACACAGUUCUAAACCCAAACUACGUUCCUCAAUGCAAUCAUCAUCAUCUCCCAGCCCAGGCUUCCGGGAGCAGCCAGCCACUGUGCAGGUGUUAAAGAUGGAGCUAUGGCCUCUGAAAGUGUUUCAACAUCAUCAGGACCCAGAGCCAUGUCCAGGGAGGCAGCCCAGCCUCCGAAGAACACCAGCUCACCAGCUGGCAGGAAAGCAUCCUGUGGGGAGGACACACACCCCAGCUAUGGGACCCCAAGGGUAGGUCUGCACCCCUCCCUGCUGGCAUUGGAGCUGACCCCAGGGUUUAGGGCAUUAUGAGCCCUUAUGAACUCCAUUUUAUACCUGAGGAAACUGAGGCACACAGAGACUCAAGGUCUAUCCGAGGCCACAG